rnacentral:rRNA from 1 species
ACGAGGCACUACGGUGCUGAAGCAACAAAUGCCCUGCUUCCAGGAAAAGCCUCUAAGCAUCAGGUAACAUCAAAUCGUACCCCAAACCGACACAGGUGGUCAGGUAGAGAAUACCAAGGCGCUUGAGAGAACUCGGGUGAAGGAACUAGGCAAAAUGGUGCCGUAACUUCGGGAGAAGGCACGCUGACACGUAGGUGAAGUGAUUUACUCAUGGAGCUGAAGUCAGUCGAAGAUACCAGCUGGCUGCAACUGUUUAUUAAAAACACAGCACUGUGCAAACACGAAAGUGGACGUAUACGGUGUGACGCCUGCCCGGUGCCGGAAGGUUAAUUGAUGGGGUCAGCGCAAGCGAAGCUCCUGAUCGAAGCCCCGGUAAACGGCGGCCGUAACUAUAACGGUCCUAAGGUAGCGAAAUUCCUUGUCGGGUAAGUUCCGACCUGCACGAAUGGCGUAAUGAUGGCCAGGCUGUCUCCACCCGAGACUCAGUGAAAUUGAACUCGCUGUGAAGAUGCAGUGUACCCGCGGCAAGACGGAAAGACCCCGUGAACCUUUACUAUAGCUUGACACUGAACAUUGAGCCUUGAUGUGUAGGAUAGGUGGGAGGCUUUGAAGCGUGGACGCCAGUCUGCGUGGAGCCGACCUUGAAAUACCACCCUUUAAUGUUUGAUGUUCUAACGUGGACCCGUAAUCCGGGUUGCGGACAGUGUCUGGUGGGUAGUUUGACUGGGGCGGUCUCCUCCUAAAGAGUAACGGAGGAGCACGAAGGUUGGCUAAUCCUGGUCGGACAUCAGGAGGUUAGUGCAAUGGCAUAAGCCAGCUUGACUGCGAGCGUGACGGCGCGAGCAGGUGCGAAAGCAGGUCAUAGUGAUCCGGUGGUUCUGAAUGGAAGGGCCAUCGCUCAACGGAUAAAAGGUACUCCGGGGAUAACAGGCUGAUACCGCCCAAGAGUUCAUAUCGACGGCGGUGUUUGGCACCUCGAUGUCGGCUCAUCACAUCCUGGGGCUGAAGUAGGUCCCAAGGGUAUGGCUGUUCGCCAUUUAAAGUGGUACGCGAGCUGGGUUUAGAACGUCGUGAGACAGUUCGGUCCCUAUCUGCCGUGGGCGCUGGAGAACUGAGGGGGGCUGCUCCUAGUACGAGAGGACCGGAGUGGACGCAUCACUGGUGUUCGGGUUGUCAUGCCAAUGGCACUGCCCGGUAGCUAAAUGCGGAAGAGAUAAGUGCUGAAAGCAUCUAAGCACGAAACUUGCCCCGAGAUGAGUUCUCCCUGAGACUUAGAGUCUCCUGAAGGAACGUUGAAGACGACGACGUUGAUAGGCCGGGUGUGUAAGCGCAGCGAUGCGUUGAGCUAACCGGUACUAAUGAACCGUGAGGCUUAACCUU